CCCUUAGAUGUUCUGGGCCGCACGCGCGCUACACUGAUGCAUUCAACGAGUUUCUCCCUUGUCCGACAGGAAUGGGUAACCUUUUGAAAGUGCAUCGUGAUAGGGAUAGACUAUUGCAAUUCUUGGUCUUCAACGAGGAAUUCCUAGUAGACGUAGUUCAUCAGACUGCAUCGAUUACGUCCCUGCCCUUUGUACACACCGCCCGUCGCUCCUACCGAUUGAAUGCUCAGGUGAGCCAUUCGGACCUCCUUCGUGCCAGUUUCUGGUUUCGCUGGAGGAAAGUCUUGCGAACCUUAUCAUUUAGAGGAAGGAGAAGUCGUAACA
rnacentral:rRNA from 1 species